AUGGCCCUCGCGUGUGCAUCUCAUCAUGUGCGCCGCCUCCUCCUCCACCCCGGGGCCGGAGCUCCGGCGAGGUCCUUCUGCGCCCAGCCCUACCAAGCCAAGGUAGGCGUGGUGGAGUUCCUGAACGGGGUCGGCAAGGGGGUGGAGACGCACGCGGCGAAGCUGGAGGAGGCAGUCGACGGCGAACCCCAGAGUGUGCCCGAGACCCGCCCGGUACGGCGCAAGAAGUUCGGUGGCCCCUGCAAGCUUAGAAAGUUGAUUUUGAGCUUUCCUCACAAGUACCGUCUUGGUCUUUCGAAACACCCAGCAGAAGUCUGGAAAGAGCAAUGA
rnacentral:rRNA from 1 species